rnacentral:rRNA from 1 species
UGAAUACGAGAUGCUACGGCGUCGAAGCAGUGUAUGUCAGACUUCCAAGAAAAGCUCGCAAUGUCAUAAAUAAAGAAUGCCUGUACCAUAACCGACACAGGUGGGUAGGUAGAGUAUACUAAGGGGCGCGAGAUAACUCUCUCUAAGGAACUCGGCAAAAUAACUCCGUAACUUCGGGAGAAGGAGUGCCUUCUUUAAGAAGGUUGCAAUAACAAGAUCCAAGCAACUGUUUAUCAAAAACACAGGUCUCCGCUAAGUCGUAAGACGAUGUAUGGGGGCUGACGCCUGCCCAGUGCCAGAAGGUUAAAGAAGUUGGUUAGCUUUUGCGAAGCUGAUGACUGAAGCCCUGGUGAACGGCGGCCGUAACUAUAACGGUCCUAAGGUAGCGAAAUUCCUUGUCGGGUAAGUUCCGACCCGCACGAAAGGCGUAAUGAUUUGGAUACUGUCUCGGAGAGGGACUCGGUGAAAUAGACUUGUCUGUGAAGAUGCGGACUACCUGCACCAGGACAGAAAGACCCUAUGAAGCUUUACUGUAACUUGAAAUUGAAAUUGGACUUUAUUUGCGCAGUAUAGGUGGAAGGCGUUGAAAGUAAUCUUGCGGGAUUAGUGGAGCCAUCAGUGAGAUACCACUCCUAUAAUGUUAGAUUUCUAACUUUGGAUCAUGAUCUGGUCAAAGAACAGUUUCAGGCGGGCAGUUUGACUGGGGCGGUCGCCUCCCAAAUGGUAACGGAGGCGUACAAAGGUUUCCUCUGAACGGGUAGAAAUCGUAUCUAGAGUGUAAAGGCAUAAGGAAGCUUGACUGUGAGACCUACAAGUCGAGCAGGGACGAAAGUCGGUCUUAGUGAUCUGACGGUGCUGAGUGGAAAGGCCGUCACUCAACGGAUAAAAGUUACUCUAGGAUAACAGGCUGAUCUCCCCCAAGAGUUCACAUCGACGGGGAGGUUUGGCACCUCGAUGUCGGCUCAUCGCAUCCUGGGGCGGUAGUACGUCCCAAGGGUUGGGCUGUUCGCCCAUGAAAGCGGUACGCGAGCUGGGUUCAGAACGUCGUGAGACAGUUCGGUCCAUAUCCGGUGUAGGCGUUAGAAUAUUGAGAGGAGCCUUCUUUAGUACGAGAGGACCGAGAAGGACAUACCUCUGGUGUACCAGUUAUCGUGCCAACGGUAAACGCUGGGUAGCUAUGUAUGGAGAGGAUAACCGCUGAAAGCAUCUAAGUGGGAAGCCCACCUCGAGAUGAGUAUUCUCAG